AUGGGGUUAGUGGCCACGCCUGAACGGCCUCUUCUCCUCCUGGGGGGGUGUUUUAAACAGGUGAGAGGUGACGUCUCAGAGCCCCACCUCUGGUUAAUGAUGGCCAAACCUGUACACCACUGUCCUCAAACCAGUGUCCUCUGUCCUUCAGAUGCAGGCGAGUCCUCUGUCCUUCAGAUGCAGGCGAGUCCUCUGUCCUUCAGAUGCAGGCGAGUCCUCUGUCCUUCAGAUGCAGGCGAGUCCUCUGUCCUUCAGAUGCAGGCGAGUCCUCUGUCCUUCAGAUGCAGGCGAGUCCUCUGUCCUUCAGAUGCAGGCGAGUCCUCUGUCCUUCAGAUGCAGGCGAGUCCUCUGUCCUUCAGAUGCAGGCGAGUCCUCUGUCCUUCAGAUGCAGGCGAGUCCUCUGUCCUUCAGAUGCAGGCGAGUCCUCUGUCCUUCAGAUGCAGGCGAGUCCUCUGUCCUUCAGAUGCAGGCGAGUCCUCUGUCCUUCAGAGGCAGGCGAGUCCUCUGUCCUUCAGAGGCAGGCGAGUCCUCUGUCCUUCAGAGGCAGGCGAGUCCUCUGUCCUUCAGAGGCAGGCGAGUCCUCUGUCCUUCAGAUGCAGGCGAGUCCUCUGUCCUUCAGAUGCAGGCGAGUCCUCUGUCCUUCAGAGGCAGGCGAGUCCUCUGUCCUUCAGAUGCAGGCGAGUCCUCUGUCCUUCAGAUGCAGGCGAGUCCUCUGUCCUUCAGAUGCAGGCGAGUCCUCUGUCCUUCAGAUGCAGGCGAGUCCUCUGUCCUUCAGAUGCAGGCGAGUCCUCUGUCCUUCAGAUGCAGGCGAGUCCUCUGUCCUUCAGAGGCAGGCGAGUCCUCUGUCCUUCAGAUGCAGGCGAGUCCUCUGUCCUUCAGAUGCAGGCGAGUCCUCUGUCCUUCAGAUGCAGGCGAGUCCUCUGUCCUUCAGAUGCAGGCGAGUCCUCUGUCCUUCAGAGGCAGGUGAGUCCUCUGUCCUUCAGAUGCAGGCGAGUCCUCUGUCCUUCAGAUGCAGGCGAGUCCUCUGUCCUUCAGAGGCAGGCGAGUCCUCUGUCCUUCAGAUGCAGGCGAGUCCUCUGUCCUUCAGAUGCAGGUGAGUCCUCUGUCCUUCAGAUGCAGGUGAGUCCUCUGUCCUUCAGAUGCAGGCGAGUCCUCUGUCCUUCAGAGGCAGGCGAGUCCUCUGUCCUUCAGAUGCAGGUGAGUCCUGGCCUGAGGAGCUGGCUCUUCUAUGUUGGGCCAUGUGCGGUUGUUUAG
rnacentral:lncRNA from 1 species